rnacentral:rRNA from 1 species
CCCUUAGAUGUUCUGGGCCGCACGCGCGCUACACUGACUGGUGCAACAAGUGUCUGACCUUGGCUCGAGAGGCCUGGGCAACCUUUGAACGCCAGUCGUGCUGGGGAUAGAUUCUUGCAAUUAUUAAUCUUCAACGAGGAAUUCCUAGUAAACGCAAGUCAUCAGCUUGCAUUGAUUACGUCCCUGCCCUUUGUACACACCGCCCGUCGCACCUACCGAUUGAAUGGUCCGGUGAAAUCUCGGGACGGCGGCUUGGUCGCUUGCGUCCGACUGCUGAAACUUGAUUAAACCAUAUCAUUUAGAGGAAGGUGAANUCGUAACA